AUUCGGACACCGGGACACUGAACAUAUAAUGGGGCAUAAUGCGCCAGCUUUUCUCCCCGAUAUCUCUUGCCGCUGGAAUCUAUGAAGAGACUUUAUCUGACAGAUAAGUAAUGCUGAUUGCAGAAUUCCGUGAGUCGUCGAAUCUUUGAACGCACAUUGCGCCCUCUGCNACUCUGGAGAGAAUGCNUGUUCUAUCUCUAUUAUCGACCUUCAAGCUAGACUGGCGUAUGNACCACGUGCNCAAGUGNNGGGAGGGCCGAAAACAGAAUGCCUCUUCCCUAUNANNCCAGGGUGCAGCGAGCUUGUUGGCACGCAUCUAGAGGGUUUCCGGCUCGGUCUCCAUCAAAUUUCUUCUGGUUGACCUCGGAUCAGGUAGGGAUACCCGCUGAACUUAAGCAUAUCAAUAAGCGGAGGAAAAGAAACCAACAGGGAUUGCCUCAGUAACGGCGAGUGAAGCGGCAACAGCUCAAAUUUGAAAUCUGGCCCCGUCGGGGUCCGAGUUGUAAUUUGUAGAGGAUGCUUCGGGCAAGGCCGUGGUCUAAUUCGCUUGGAACAGCGGGCCACAGAGGGUGAGAAUCCCGUCUAGGAUCGUGCGCCGCGUCCGUGUGAAGCUCCUUCGACGAGUCGAGUUGUUUGGGAAUGCAGCUCUAAAUGGGUGGUAAAUUUCAUCUAAAGCUAAAUAUGGGCCAGAGACCGAUAGCGCACAAGUAGAGUGAUCGAAAGAUGAAAAGCACUUUGAAAAGAGAGUUAAACAGUAUGUGAAAUUGUUGAAAGGGAAGCGCUUGCAACCAGACUUGUGACUGACGGUUCCCCCGAUCUUUUGGCCGGGCUACUCCGUCACGUCCAGGCCAGCAUCGGUUUGGGUAGUCGGUGAAAGAUCCCGGGAACGUAUCAACCUUCGGGUUGACUUAUAGCCCGGGGUGCAAUGCGGCCUACCCGGACCUAGGAGCGCGCUCCGGCUCGGAUGUUGGCGUAAUGGUUGCAAGCGGCC
rnacentral:rRNA from 1 species